GGUAUAUAUAGGACUAAAGAGUUCACUCUCACUUAUAGCUGUGAGGUGGACCUUGAGACAACACGCCAGGGUCUGAUCGGAUAAUAUCUCCUGAUCUCAUCCGAAUUGCCAGUUUGUGAAAUCUAAAUAGAAGUUUCUGGUAGGAAUACACUCUCAGUGAAUUCAUGCUCUGUUUGUAUUCCCUUUGGUGAACCCAUUCUUUGAUUUGCACCCCUGAUGAAGUCCUAAGGGACGAAACGCGUUGGGUUUCAACGAUUGUGCGUUUUCCGUAAAAACAGUGAACUGAUCAUUCAUACUUUCUCAUGCUGAGGAAUAAGUAUUUCAUCUAAUGAUUGAAAACAUCAUGUAUAACAGACAAUCAGAAAUGAAUGUAUUGCUCAUAUGACAUAUGUGAUCUUGUGAUUCAUGUUAUAAAAGUAUACAUGUUUUUUAAUAAAUGAUUU